rnacentral:rRNA from 1 species
AGAGUUUGAUCCUGGCUCAGAAUGAACGUUGGCGGCGUGGAUUAGGCAUGCAAGUCGAGCGAGAACCCGCAAGGGGGACAGCGGCAAACGGGGUAGGAAUGGUCGGUAACGUACCCUUCGGACGGGGAUAGCCACGGGAAACUGUGGGUAAUACCCGAUAACCUCCUUUCUUGUAACGGAGAGAGGAGCAAAGGUGAGAUUCCACCGGAGGAGCGGCUGACUUAGUAUUAGCUAGUUGGUGAGGUAAAAGCUUACCAAGGCAUCGAUGCUUAGGGGGUGUGAGAGCAUGGCCCCCACCACUGGGACUGAGAUACUGCCCAGACACCUACGGGUGGCUGCAGUCGAGGAUCUUCGGCAAUGGGCGCAAGCCUGACCGAGCGACGCCGCGUGUGGGAUGAAGGCCCUUGGGUUGUAAACCACUGUCAGGGGGGACGAAAUGCGCGCGGGUACUCCCGUGCGUUUGACAGAGCCCCAGAGGAAGCACGGGCUAAGUUCGUGCCAGCAGCCGCGGUAAU